GCUCUUUAAAAGAAAGGAGAGAUGUUAAGCUCUUAACUUUUUAAAGAGCUUCUAGGAGCCCAUUGGAGCUCUAAUUCUUGCAUUGCUCUUUAAAUUUGAAGUUAAGAGCUCAUUUAGAGAGCCACUUGGAGAUGCUCUAAGCAUCCAACAAGGAGGCUCUUACAAAACAUAUCAACAAAUAAUCCCGUCUCCGACUGAGUGUGCAUGAGAUCGAUGAGUGCUUUCUUGACGUGUGGUUUUUGAGAAUCUAUUAAGAGAGACAUGAAACCUACGCUGGUCUGGUAUUGGUCGGGUGAGGGCGGGUCUAACGAGGGGAGAUGAAUGAAGGAGACAUUUCCGGAGUUGACGGUGGAGCGUGAGUCCACGAAGGUGUCCACGAGUGGUCGAUUCAUGGGGAUGACUAGGACGGUGGCUGUGAGAGACGGGUAAGUGUGGGUCAACUGAGUGGCGAACUCGACUACAGGAACGAGGUUUCCGAUUGUAGGAGCGGCGAUGAAAACAAGUGACUCCCUGAAACUUGAUGGUAGAGCAGAGCUGUUGAAACCUUUGCAAGUGAAGCGUAGGAUCUUCAGUUGGAAGACCAGCAAACUGAUUCUGUUGGAUCAUAGUGAGCAACGCCGGUUUGAUCUCAAAGUUUGCUGCUUGAAUAUUUGGCAUAGCAAUGCCAGUAGGCACACCACUCGGAGAGGGCUGCGAAUAAUUCUUCAAAGAUUUAAUAGGAAGAUCACCCAUUUUAAUCUUU